GAUGAACGCUGGCGGCGUGCCUAACACAUGCAAGUCGAGCGGCAGCGAGGGGUGCUUGCACCCUGUCGGCGAGCGGCGGACGGCUGAGUAACGCGUGGGAACGUGCCCCAAAGUGAGGAAUAACUGCCCGAAAGGGUAGCUAAUACCGCAUAGUAUCUUCGGAUCAAAGGAUUUAUCCGCUUUGGAAGCGGCUCGCGUCUGAUUAGGUAGUUGGUGAGGUAAUGGCUCACCAAGCCGGCGACCCGUAGCUGGUCUGGGAGGAGGACCAGCCAGACUGGAACUGAGACACGGUCCAGACUCCUACGGGAGGCAGCAGUGAGGAAUCUUCCAGAAUGGGCGAAAGCCUGAUGGAGCAACGCCGCGUGCAGGACGAAGGCCUUCGGGUUGUAAACUGCUUUUAUAAGUGAGGAAUAUGACGGUAACUUAUGAAUAAGGAUCGGCUAACUACGUG
rnacentral:rRNA from 1 species